rnacentral:rRNA from 1 species
GACGAACGCUGGCGGCGUGCUUAACACAUGCAAGUCGAACGGAAAGGCCCUGCUUUUAGGGUACUCUAGUGGCGCACGGGUGUGUAUCACGUGGGUGUUCUGCCCUGCACUUCGGGAUAUGCCUUGGAAACUGUGUCUAAUACCGCAUAGGAGCCCUUUUUCGUGAGAUGGUUGGAAGGUUUUUUUGGUUUAGGAUGGGUUCGCGGCCUAUCUGCUUGUUGGUGGGGUGAGGGGCUACCCAGGCGGCGCUGGGUAGGCGGCCUGGAAGGGUGGACGGCCAAAAUGGGAAUGGAGUAAGGGCCAGACUCCCACGGGGGGCAAGAGGUGGGAAAAAUGGACAAAUGGGGGGAGCCUGAAGCAACGACGGCGGGGGGGGGAAGACGGGCUUUGGGUUGGAAACUCCUUUCGCUAGGGACGGAGCUGUGAGUGACGGUAAUUAGAAAAGAAGCACCGGCUAACUACGUG